UGCGCAGGCGGUUUUGAAAGUCAGAUGUGAAAUCCCCGGGCUCAACCUGGGAACUGCGUUUGAAACUCCAAGACUAGAGUAUGGCAGAGGGGGUAGAAUUCCACGUGUAGCAGUGAAAUGCGUAGAGAUGUGGAGGAAUACCAAUGGCGAAGGCAGCCCCCUGGGUCAAUACUGACGCUCAUGCACGAAAGCGUGGGAGCAAACA
rnacentral:rRNA from 1 species